rnacentral:rRNA from 1 species
AUUGAACGCUGGCGGCAGGCCUAACACAUGCAAGUCGAACGGAGCGGCGGAGGGGGGAGUAAUGGCUAGGAAUCGGCCUGGUAGUGGUGGAUAAGGUAAGGAAACGGGAGCUAAUACCGAAUACUAUCAGAGGAGCCUAGGUGGGAGUAGCUAGUGGGUGGGGUAAAGGUCUACCCAGGCGACGAUCCGUAACUGGUCUGAGAGGAUGAUCAGUCACACUGGAACUGAGACACGGUCCAGACUCCUACGGGAGGCAGCAGUGGGGAAUAUUGGACAAUGGGCGAAACCCUGACCCAGCCAUGCCGCGUGUGUGAAGAAGGGCUUCGGAUUGUAAAGCACUUUAAGUUGGGAGGCGUUACCAACAGAAUAAGCACCGGCUAACUUCGUGCCAGCAGCCGCGGUAAUAC